CGGGGUGAGUAAUGUCUGGGAAACUGCCUGAUGGAGGGGGAUAACUACUGGAAACGGUAGCUAAUACCGCAUAACGUCUUCGGACCAAAGUGGGGGACCUUCGGGCCUCACGCCAUCGGAUGUGCCCAGAUGGGAUUAGCUAGUAGGUGGGGUAAUGGCUCACCUAGGCGACGAUCCCUAGCUGGUCUGAGAGGAUGACCAGCCACACUGGAACUGAGACACGGUCCAG
rnacentral:rRNA from 1 species